rnacentral:rRNA from 1 species
CUCAUGAUGAACGCUAGCUACAGGCUUAACACAUGCAAGUCGAGGGGCAUCAGGAAGAAAGCUUGCUUUCUUUGCUGGCGACCGGCGCACGGGUGAGUAACACGUAUCCAACCUGCCCUUUACUCGGGGAUAGCCUUUCGAAAGAAAGAUUAAUACCCGAUAGCAUAAUGAUUCCGCAUGGUUUCAUUAUUAAAGGAUUCCGGUAAAGGAUGGGGAUGCGUUCCAUUAGGUUGUUGGUGAGGUAACGGCUCACCAAGCCUUCGAUGGAUAGGGGUUCUGAGAGGAAGGUCCCCCACAUUGGAACUGAGACACGGUCCAAACUCCUACGGGAGGCAGCAGUGAGGAAUAUUGGUCAAUGGGCGCUAGCCUGAACCAGCCAAGUAGCGUGAAGGAUGAAGGCUCUAUGGGUCGUAAACUUCUUUUAUAUAAGAAUAAAGUGCAGUAUGUAUACUGUUUUGUAUGUAUUAUAUGAAUAAGGAUCGGCUAACUCCGUGCCAGCAGCCGCGGUAAUACGGAGGAUCCGAGCGUUAUCCGGAUUUAUUGGGUUUAAAGGGAGCGUAGGUGGACUGGUAAGUCAGUUGUGAAAGUUUGCGGCUCAACCGUAAAAUUGCAGUUGAUACUGUCAGUCUUGAGUACAGUAGAGGUGGGCGGAAUUCGUGGUGUAGCGGUGAAAUGCUUAGAUAUCACGAAGAACUCCGAUUGCGAAGGCAGCUCACUGGACUGCAACUGACACUGAUGCUCGAAAGUGUGGGUAUCAAACAGGAUUAGAUACCCUGGUAGUCCACACAGUAAACGAUGAAUACUCGCUGUUUGCGAUAUACAGUAAGCGGCCAAGCGAAAGCAUUAAGUAUUCCACCUGGGGAGUACGCCGGCAACGGUGAAACUCAAAGGAAUUGACGGGGGCCCGCACAAGCGGAGGAACAUGUGGUUUAAUUCGAUGAUACGCGAGGAACCUUACCCGGGCUUAAAUUGCAGUGGAAUGAUGUGGAAACAUGUCAGUGAGCAAUCACCGCUGUGAAGGUGCUGCAUGGUUGUCGUCAGCUCGUGCCGUGAGGUGUCGGCUUAAGUGCCAUAACGAGCGCAACCCUUAUCUUUAGUUACUAACAGGUUAUGCUGAGGACUCUAGAGAGACUGCCGUCGUAAGAUGUGAGGAAGGUGGGGAUGACGUCAAAUCAGCACGGCCCUUACGUCCGGGGCUACACACGUGUUACAAUGGGGGGUACAGAAGGCAGCUAGCGGGUGACCGUAUGCUAAUCCCAAAAGCCUCUCUCAGUUCGGAUCGAAGUCUGCAACCCGACUUCGUGAAGCUGGAUUCGCUAGUAAUCGCGCAUCAGCCACGGCGCGGUGAAUACGUUCCCGGGCCUUGUACACACCGCCCGUCAAGCCAUGGGAGCCGGGGGUACAUGAAGUACGUAACCGCAAGGAUCGUCCUAGGGUA